CGAUCAGCUAAAGAAAACAGAUUUAAUGCACAUAAAAGUAUCCGCUCUUGAUUUAAUGAAGAUAAUAACGUUAAAUGUAAACCAUGUAUGCUCAUAUACAGAUACUUGAUUAAAUGGAUAAAGGGGAACUGAUGGAGCCACACAGAACAGAUUGUAACAGCAGACUCAGUCAUUUCAACUGGACUUAAACUUUUUUUUUAAAUGUUUAAUUCCAGUUUAAAUGACUGCUAUUACAACUUGUGCACUCCUGGACAAUUGAGAAUUUUACACUAUAUAUUAUAAUGAAAAGUUGGCUUUAUUUGCCAUCCUUCAUGUUUAUAACUUGUAUUUUAAUUCUAAAAUGUUUAUCCAUUCAGCAACUACCAGAGCCAGCGUCAACCAUCAGCCAGCACCAGCCAGCUGCCAGGAAAUAGGAAAAGGGCCGACACUCUUCUGGCUGCUGUGCAGGACAAGCUGUUAGAUGCUGAAUAGCAGAGGCAAAACCAUCCACACUUCAACACCCUGAAGUCUUUCAGGAACAGGCACAAAGGAGGCAGAAGAGUGAGCAGCUUGACAGGCAGAGGUGAAGCAAGCAGAGAUCUGUGAUGGAGGGUCUCUAGGUGUAAUGGAUGGCAGGAAAAGCCAGUGUGAUAUGCAGAAUCAUAUAUGCACAUGUAAAUAGUUAUUUUUGCACUGCUGUAUUCACUAUAAUAAAAAUAAAUGACUUUGUAAAGAGUCUGAAUUAUUGUUUUUCUCAGAUGUGGUUUGACCAAAUCUAUGAAAUGUUAGCUACUAAAAAUAAAGUAGUUAUUAACCUAUAAUAGCUAUGAAAUAUUAAAUAAUCCAUCUUUGGUCGCUACAUUUCAAGUCUUAUCCAUGGGUGUAAAUUACAUUAUCAACUUUUUAAUAUGCACCAUAUCACAGGACGAAGUUUAUCAUGUAUAACGAAGAUCUG